GCCCGGGUAGCCCAACGGCAGAGGCGCCUGAUUCAGGGUCAGGAGGUUGGAGGUUCGAAUCCUCUUCCGGGUA
rnacentral:tRNA from 1 species